CAGUCGCCGCGGGAAUACGAGGGGGGCAAGCGUUAAUCGGAAUUACUGGGCGUAAAGCGUGCGCAGGCGGUUCGUUAAGACAGAUGUGAAAUCCCCGGGCUUAACCUGGGAACUGCAUUUGUGACUGGCGAGCUAGAGUAUGGCAGAGGGGGGUAGAAUUCCACGUGUAGCAGUGAAAUGCGUAGAGAUGUGGAGGGAUACCGAUGGCGAAGGCAGCCCCCUGGGCCAAUACUGACGCUCAUGCACGAAAGCGUGGGGAGCAAACAGGAUUAGAUACCCGAGUAGUCCCUGUCUCUUAUAC
rnacentral:rRNA from 1 species